rnacentral:sRNA from 1 species
GGCUAUAAGGGCAAUCUGGUUAUGAUGCCUGUUGUCCAUUUAUUACCAGGGAAGAUUUGGUUAGUCUUGGCCAGUGUCCCCUUCCUUCCUCAUCACUCUAUGUAUAUCCCUCCCAAAGCUGUGUGCUUGGUGGUACAAGGUGACUACUCCUACGAGGAGGACCAUUCUUAGGUCCCAGGUACAAGAGUAGUUGCCCUCCCUUGCUGGAGCCUCCAAACAGGCUCUCAAAUCCUCAUUUUAUAUUUA